rnacentral:rRNA from 1 species
AUUGAACGCUGGCGGCAGGCCUAACACAUGCAAGUCGAGCGAGCGGCGGACGGGUGAGGAAUGCCUAGGAAUUGCCACGUCGCGGGGGAUAACAGUUGGAAACGCCUGCUAAUACCGCAUACGAUUGGAUUGCUCCGGUGGGAUUAGCUAGUUGGUGAGGUAAUGGCUCACCAAGGCGACGAUCCCUAGCUGGUCUGAGAGGAUGAUCAGCCACACUGGAACUGAGACACGGGCCAGACUCCUACGGGAGGCAGCAGUGGGGAAUAUUGCACAAUGGGGGAAACCCUGAUGCAGCCAUGCCGCGUGUGUGAAGAAGGCCUUCGGGUUGUAAAGCACUUUCAUCGAGGAGGCGUUAUUCGCAGAAGAAGCACCGGCUAACUCCGUGCCAGCAGCCGCGGUAAUAC